rnacentral:rRNA from 1 species
CAGUCGCCACGGUAAUACGUAGGGUGCGAGCGUUAAUCGGAAUUACUGGGCGUAAAGCGUGCGCAGGCGGUUGUGUAAGACAGGUGUGAAAUCCCCGGGCUUAACCUGGGAACUGCGCUUGUGACUGCACAGCUAGAGUAUGGCAGAGGGGGGUGGAAUUCCACGUGUAGCAGUGAAAUGCGUAGAGAUGUGGAGGAACACCGAUAGCGAGGGCAGCCCCCUGGGCCAAUACUGACGCUCAUGCACGAAAGCGUGGGGAGCAAACAGGAUUAGAUACCCCGGUAGUCCCUGUCUCUUAUAC